UUUCCGUAGGUGAACCUGCGGAAGGAUCAUUAUUAUAUAACCAAGGUUCGAGGGCUUUCGCUUUUCCUAAAUGUUCUGCACGCCCGAGUGCCCUCACCCACAUCCAUCUCCCCCCUAUGUGCACCACCGCGACGGUCCCCCUCUCUCUUUUUCGGGGGUGGGCCUACGUUUUCACACACACUUGAUAUGCAGUGUAGACUUUAUUUUUUGAUUUUGCGAGUACCCCAUCAAUACAACUUUCAACAACGGAUCUCUUGUACCUCGCAUCCAUGAAAAACC
rnacentral:misc_RNA from 1 species